UACGGAGGGUGCGAGCGUUGUCCGGAAUCACUGGGCUUAAAGGGUGCGUAGGCUGCGCAGUAAGUUGGGUGUGAAAUCCCUCGGCUCAACCGAGGAACUGCGCCCAAAACUACUGUGCUCGAGGGAGACAGAGGUGAGCGGAACUUAGGGUGGAGCGGUGAAAUGCGUUGAUAUCCUAAGGAACACCGGUGGCGAAAGCGGCUCACUGGGUCUCUUCUGACGCUGAGGCACGAAAGCUAGGGUAGCGAACGGG
rnacentral:rRNA from 1 species